CAAUGCUGGAUGAUGGCCAGACUUCAGCAAGAAGACCUGAAUACAAGACACCAUGUUGAACCACGAGACAUCUGAAUUAAAGAUGGGCCCAUAACACACCAUCGCUCAUUGUCCCCAAACAGCUCCGCCACCUGCAGAGAUUCUCUAAGUCAUUCGCUCUCUCUAACAAGAACGUGGACGAACACACAAGAUACACAAAAAAGUUGAGAUCUCGUAAUUUAGACUGAGGAUGCUGAUUGUGUUUUUAAAUCUGUGUGGGAAAGUGAUACAUGUUUUUUAUGUUUGGCAUAAUGGAACUUGAACUUCACACUCACUGUAGACAUGCAGUCUGGUGUUUUCUGAAACAUUAUGUUUAAAUAUGCAAACUAGGCAUUAUCUAAUGAUCAUUGGUGGUGAAUUUAGGAGAAAUCUACACAAACAAACAGACAAAGUUUAAUGAAAUAAACCCCUAAAUGUGUA